CACGUGUCGGCCAUUUCCAGUCCUGCAGAGCAGGCUGUAUUAUUUGCUCUUGGCAUAAAUCUUUCUCCAUCUGUUGUGUAAAACCUUUGGAGAAGCUUUGCGUAAGAUCUACAGAGGAGCUCUGGAUCCAGAGAAGUGUUUGGUUUCUGAGGCGGCGUCUUGUCAGGAGAACAACACACAAAUGGAGGUGAAACUGCUAUCAACCAUCCAUGGGCUGGAGAACUGUCUGAGGUACCAGCAGUAGAUGAGAAGAUAAGGAGAACACAAACCUGGGAAAUGGCACACAUUUGCCAGACAGCAAUCAGGUCAUCCUACAACUAUUUUCAAGUGAGUGCUGGCUUCUCUCUCACCCGUAAGUGCAAAGCGCUUAUUUGCAUGUAGUGAUGCCCACAACACUCCGUAAUGAAUAAUCAGGGUAAAGCCUGAAAGACAGAAGUGGAAGUUAUUUUGACUUACAUCUAUGGCAAUAAAAAUAUUGAAUAAUAUAACAUUAAUAAUA